GAUGAACGCUGGCGGCGUGCCUAAUACAUGCCAGUCGAGCGAACAGACGAGGAGCUUGCUCCUCUGACGUUAGCGGCGGACGGGUGAGUAACACGUGGAUAACCUACCUAUAAUACUGGGAUAACUUCGGGAAACCGGAGCUAAUACCGGAUAAUAUAUUGAACCGCAUGGUUCAAUAGUGAAAGACGGUUUUGCUGUCACUUAUAGAUGGAUCCGCGCCGCAUUAGCUAGUUGGUAAGGUAACGGCUUACCAAGGCAACGAUGCGUAGCCGACCUGAGAGGGUGAUCGGCCACACUGGAACUGAGACACGGUCCAGACUCCUACGGGAGGCAGCAGUAGGGAAUCUUCCGCAAUGGGCGAAAGCCUGACGGAGCAACGCCGCGUGAGUGAUGAAGGUCUUCGGAUCGUAAAACUCUGUUAUUAGGGAAGAACAAAUGUGUAAGUAACUAUGCACGUCUUGACGGUACCUAAUCAGAAAGCCACGGCUAACUACGUG
rnacentral:rRNA from 1 species